rnacentral:rRNA from 1 species
CCCUUAGAUGUCCGGGGCCGCACGCGCGCUACACUGAAGGAAUCAGCGUGGCUUUCUCCCUGACCCGAAAGGGUUGGGAAACCCGUUGAAUCUCCUUCGUGAUAGGGAUUGGGGCUUGAAAUUGUUCCCCAUGAACGAGGAAUUCCCAGUAAGCGCGAGUCAUAAGAUCGCGUUGAUUACGUCCCUGCCCUUUGUACACACCGCCCGUCGCUACUACCGAUUGAACGGUUUAGUGAGGGCCUCGGAUUGGUCUCGGCCCGCUCUUUACCGGGCGGCGCCGUUGGUCGAGAAGACGCUCGAACUUGAUCGUUUAGAGGAAGUAAAAGUCGUAACA